UUACAACGCUUAAUGUAGCAAUUAAACCUCACAUUAUUUAGGUACCUUUUAUGAAUAUCGCAUUAUACACGGCAUCUACAAAAAUGCUUACGCGGUCUUUUCAUAACCGUUGAUAGUAGACAUUUACUAGAGAAUUGUUUUAGAUAGCGCAAGCUCCAUGGUUUGGCAUUUAAAAAAAAAAAAAAAUCAAUUUCCUAAAAAUUAUGACACCGAACUUCCAUUAAUCAAGAACGAAAGUUAGAGGUUCGAAGGCGAUCAGCCCUAGUUCUAACCAUAAACGAUGCCAGCCAGCGAUCCGGCUGUGUUCCUCAAAUGACACGCCAAGCAGCUUCCAGGAAACCAAAGCUUUUGGAUU
rnacentral:ncRNA from 1 species